ACUCAAAGGAAUUGACGGGGGCCCGCACAAGCGGAGGAGCAUGUGGUUUAAUUCGAUGGUACGCGAGGAACCUUACCUGGGUUAGAACGUAUGAUAGAUGUAGCUGAAAGGUUACAGACCUGCGAGGGAUAUCAUACGAGGUGCUGCAUGGUUGUCGUCAGCUCGUGCCGUGAGGUGUUUGGUUAAGUCCAGCAACGAGCGCAACCCCUACCUUUAGUUGCCAGCAGGUAAAGCUGGGGACACUAGAGGGACUGCCUGCGCAAGCAGAGAGGAAGGUGGGGAUGACGUCAAAUCAGCACGGCCCUUAUGUCCAGGGCUACACACGUGCUACAAUGGUAACUACAGAGGGCAGCGACUAGGCGACUAGGAGCGAAUCUCGAAAAGUUAUCUCAGUUCGGAUUGGAGUCUGCAACUCGACUCCAUGAAGGUGGAUUCGCUAGUAAUCGCGCAUCAGCAAUGGCGCGGUGAAUACGUUCCCGGGCCUUGUACACACCGCCCGU
rnacentral:rRNA from 1 species